rfam:Ophiostoma piceae TAMH 11346 chromosome Tnknown scf30, whole genome shotgun sequence.
GGCAAGAUGGCCGAGCGGUCUAAGGCGCUAGCUUCAGGAAGCCUCUCUUCGGAGAGUACACUUGAACAUGCUAGUCUUGAAAAAGGCGUGGGUUCGAAUCCCACUCUUGUCA